rnacentral:hammerhead_ribozyme from 1 species
AUCCAGCUGAAGAGUCCCAAAUAUUACGACACGCGCGUCCUGGAU